rnacentral:rRNA from 1 species
GCCGUAGGGCGCGAGCGUUGUCCGGAUUUAUUGGGCGUAAAGAGCUCGUAGGCGGCUUGUCGCGUCGAAUGUGAAAUCUCAGGGCUCAACUCUGACAUUGCAUUCGAUACGGGCAGGCUCGAGUUCGGUAGGGGAGACUGGAAUUCCUGGUGUAGCGGUGAAAUGCGCAGAUAUCAGGAGGAACACCGGUGGCGAAGGCGGGUCUCUGGGCCGAUACUGACGCUGAGGAGCGAAAGCGUGGGGAGCGAACAGG